AUAUUGUCAUGUACCAUUCAAAUUUCCCCUUACUUUGCAUAAAUACUUUUAAAAAAGUACCUCAGUAUAAAAAUUCUCCUAUUCUAGUAAACCAUCUGGAUUAUCACAUCAAACCUUUAUAUGAUUUAAAUAUCCCUCCUCUCCUGGUUAAACACGUUAUGGUAGGAAAAAUAGCUAACCUGUGAUAACAGCAAUAGCACCAUUAAAUCUGAUGCUCCUGCCAUAGUAUGUUUUUGCAAAGAAUUUCUUUAACAUCAAUGAGUUCAUUCUCUAUGAUUGUCAGAUCUGCAAAUGAUAACUGCUUAUCAGUAAGAAUAAUAAACAGAAUAUGCUCUUGUUAAUUAAAGGAACAAUUCU
rnacentral:lncRNA from 1 species